UUGGAAAGAGACGAUAUUUCGUUGCUGGAAUUGGAUUGUUUAGUGGGAUUUGAAAAGCAAAUAGGAAGGAAACGGGAAGGUUUGGAAGACUGGUGGAUUACGGAGAGUAACUGANGAGAGUGACUGAUUAGAGAUAGAGAAUGGAUUUGAGGGUCUAGGAAAGGGAAUUGGAUUCCUUGGAUUUAAGGAAUUAAAAGCCCGAAAGGAAUUGAGAUUUGUAAGACUGAGUUUCAUGGUCGAAGCNAAGGCUUAGAGCUGAAAGGCAAACGAGUUCUCGUCCAGGGGAAGCUACUCCUUUGCCUUGGU
rnacentral:misc_RNA from 1 species